GGUUUGUGGCUCAGUGGUACAGCGCUUGUCUAGCACAUGUGAGACCCUGGGUUCAAAUCUCAGCACUG
rnacentral:tRNA from 1 species